CUAAAAGAUAUGUUACUCUCAGGGUAAGCAAUUAAAUUAAAUGGUUCGAAGUGAAUUCUUUCCAUUGUCUCUAAAGAUUCUAGUGGUCUAAAAUUUAAAUUACCUAACAUUGUCUGUUGAUACGACUCUGAAGACGAAGCUACACCUUUGCCUUUGUCUGCAGGAGGUUGUCCUGUUGGUCUCAUGCUGAAAACAAAUGAGUGAGAUUAAACUUAUUUAUUUAUUCCCAG
rnacentral:lncRNA from 1 species